UACGUAGGUGGCAAGGCGUUGUCCGGAAUUAUUGGGCGUAAAGCGCGCGCAGGCGGUCCCUUAAGUCUGAUGUGAAAGCCCACAGGGCUCAACCCGUGGAGGGUCAUUGGAAACUGGGGGACUUGAGUGACAGAAGAGGAAAGCGGAAUUCCACGUGUAGCGGUGAAAUGCGUAGAAGAUGUGGAGGAACACCAGUGGCGAAGGCGGCUUCUGGUCUGUAACUGACGCUGAGGCGCGAAAGCGUGGGGAGCAAACAGGA
rnacentral:rRNA from 1 species